CCUUGUUGUGCCCAUGCAGCGGUGAGGAAGAGAGGCACGGAAGAAAGAGGCCGCGACUUGUCACUGACAUGCGCAAUCUGCAGCAGCACCGCGACACUGUCCCGCCGCGCACAAAAGCAAAACCUCCCACGUGAUCGCUCUCCCUCGGCUCUUUCCAUUUGCUUUCUUCGGGAGACCUGCCGGACGCACAAACAUUGCUGUUCCUUGCACCCACCUUCCCUACCCCGACACCGUAUCGCUCUCCCUCUCUCCUCCACCUCCGUAGUGGUGUGCGAUCCCUUCUUGACGUAUUAAGGGCCAAGAGGAAGGCAAAGGACGUUUGUGCGACUGCUCGUCUCGUCUCGUCUCGUCUCCCCCCUGCCGCUCUCUCACCCUUCUGUUGCUUGUCGACGUUCGCACCUCGUGAGAAAACGCACAAACAAGCACAGGCAGGCAUCCAUCGAAGCCCCCCUCCUCCUCCCGCGUAAGACCGGCGCGCACGGAGAGCCCAAGGGAGAUUACGUAAUAUGCUGCGAUGUCACGGUGGACUAGGGGCGCGUUUUCUGCGCCGGCCCUGUGGCGCCGCCGCGGCUGCCGUGGUGUACCCUGCAACCUCCGGGGCGGUGGCAGGAAUGGCCAUGACGAGCAGUAACACGUGCACGUACGUGCGCUCCUUCUCCACUGCGACGCCGUUGUGCCUCGCACGGCGCCUCGCUGGCAACCAUCGACGGAAGCGCAGUCGUGAGCCGACCAAGGGCGACUGGCUGUGCCAGUGUGGUGAAGUCAACUACCAAUCCAAGCGUGAGUGCUACAAGUGUGGUGCCCCCGCCCCUCCUCUCCCCCCUGGCGUUCGCCGCCCGAGUCUGCCAGGUGAGGAUCCGCAUGAUUGGGCCUGUCCGUGCGGGCAGAUGAACUUCAGAGGCGCCGUUGUGUGCCACAAGUGUCAGCAGCCAAAGCCCGUGCCGCCGCCGCUGCCCGGAAAGGAGACGACACUGUGGACAUGCCCCAAGUGCAAAGGCGUCAACCGCAACAACCGCAGGUUUUGCUUCAAGUGCUCAGCACCGUCGCCUUUAGUCGAGUUUAAGCCGCAGCAGUAGCGCGAUCCGGCGGCUGGAGUGUUGUCGCCGCUCGCGCCUGCCUAGUUGUGCCACUUUCUCGGUGGUAUCACUGCAGCUGUAGAAGCCGAUGCGUGAGAUGAGCAUGCAGCAGAGCUAGUCGCGGCAGUAGCGCAUAUGAGUCUUUCUCUCCUCCUCCCGAGGGUGACAUCAUUCGACAGAGCCCACGUAGCCAAUUAGAGAUGAGAGGACGGUGCGGCGGCGUUCCUCUGCUGCCCUCCACCCCCUGCCCACUUCCUUCUCCAGUGCUGUGUUAUCGCUUUUCCGCCUGAGAAACAUGCACACACACACACACACACACGCAUAUGCUCAUGCACGCAUGCGAGGCCUCCCCCACGUCUUCACACAUCCGCCCAAGCGCAGAAUGAUACACGCGUGAGGCGUGUGGGUCGGUGUAGACUCACACAGUACAGCAAAAGGAAAGGAAAACGAGAAGCAAGGAAAAGCGAACGUGCAGCAGAUUUGCACACGCCGUGUCGUGCACCGGCCGCUGCACAUCCGGCUGGGGAGAUGCGCCUGAGUUGCAUCGUAGGGAAGGGGGUGGAGCAAGAGGAAGGCGGUGGGGUUCCACAACUGGUGAGAGUUUCUUUUCAAGUGAAGGCCGUCCUUUGCGUCGCAAUCACGGUGCGUGCACCUGCUUCCCCUUCUUCCUUUUCCAGUCCCUCUUCUCCUUCCCUCAACAACAGCAGCAUCUCAUCCUGACUCACUCCCUCUCCCUGUAUGCCACCAGUAUCUCCCUGCGAGGAAAUUGCGGCGUUUUCCCCUCCUGCUCCUCUUGCCUCUCGCAACCCUGUCCUCUUUCUCUCUCGCUUCGACGAUCACCCAG
rnacentral:misc_RNA from 1 species